UAGUAACGGCGAGUGAAGAGGCAAAAGCUCAAGUUUGGAAGCUCAGUGGUUUAACCACUGCGCAUUGUAAACUGAAAACAGGAUCAAUCAGGUACACCGGGUGAUAAGUUCCUUGGAAUAGGACAUCAUGGAGGGUGAGAAUCCCGUCUUUGACCCGAGUCUAGUAUCUUUUGUAUUGGCCUGUUCAAGAGUCAGGUUGUUUGGGAAUGCAGCCUAAAGCUGGAGGUAAAUCCCUCCUGAAGCUAAAUAAUGGCGAGAGACCGAUAGCGAACAAGUACCGUGAGGGAAAAGAUGAAAAAGAACUCUGAAAAAGAGAGUUAAACAGUACGUGAAAUUGCUUAAAGGGAAGCAUAUAAAGCUAGGAUGCGAUUGUUUUCUUCAGGUUGAGCUUUGGCUUGACUGUUCAGAAGGAUAAUCCGAGACAACAAGAAUUGGAGGAGGAGAAUAAGCUGUUAGGGAAGGUAAUCCUUCGGGAUGUUUAUAGACCUGGCAGUUCGCGCUCUUCUUCGA
rnacentral:rRNA from 1 species